CAAGGCGGCGCCGCCGCAGAUCCCGGACACCCGGCGGGAGCUGGCGGAGCUCGUGAAGCGGAAGCAGGAGCUGGCGGAAACAUUGGCAAACUUGGAGCGACAGAUCUAUGCUUUUGAGGGAAGCUACCUGGAAGACACUCAGAUGUAUGGCAAUAUUAUUCGUGGCUGGGAUCGGUAUCUGACCAACCAAAAAAACUCCAAUAGCAAAAAUGAUCGAAGGAACCGGAAGUUUAAGGAAGCUGAGCGGCUCUUCAGUAAAUCCUCAGUUACUUCAGCAGCUGCAGUAAGUGCAUUGGCAGGAGUUCAGGACCAGCUCAUUGAAAAGAGGGAGCCAGGAAGUGGGACGGAAAGUGACACUUCUCCAGACUUCCACAAUCAGGAAAAUGAGCCCAGCCAGGAGGACCCUGAGGAUCUGGAUGGAUCUGUGCAGGGAGUGAAACCUCAGAAAGCUGCUUCCUCUACUUCCUCAGGGAGUCACCACAGCAGCCAUAAAAAGCGAAAGAAUAAAAACCGGCACAGCCCGUCUGGCAUGUUUGAUUAUGACUUUGAGUAUGUAUAUUAGGUUAGGCUGGGAAGUUUUUUUUAAAAACAGAAAAACGUGAUGGAGGAUUGAUCUGAAGUUAAACAAAAAACCACGAGCUGACUAUUAGAAGACACGUUAGUGCAGAAGCUUCCAGGCUGUAGAGCCCUGCUUCCCUUCUCUGACCUCACAAAGAUAAACAUCCUUCACCUGAGUUCGUGGCCAUCCACCUCUGCUCUCCCAGACCCAGUGCCUGUGACUUUGAGUAGUUUGUUCUAAAUGUGGUGACAAACAAGUCAUUUCUGUAAGACAUUGGGUCUUACUUUAUGUCAUUUUUAGUAACAGAACUGCGGGAAGACCAAGACAAUGUUGUAAUCCCUGCAAGUUGCUAACUGUGCGUUUCUCCCUUCUUAGAAUGAAUGUCUCCCCCAAAACUGGCUGGCACCAGCUUCAUCUGUGAUACCCAUCAAGAAAUGUUCUCUGGUUUUGUUUUAUGCUGAAAGUAGAACACAAGUCACAUUUCAGAUGGAGGCUGUAAAUAUCUGGCAUUUUCUUAUAUUGUUUUAUGUUUUCUUGUUUUUCUCUUGUUGUUUUUAUCUUAUUUUCUUUGGGGUUUUUUUGUAAUGCCUUUGUACAGCUCAUACUUUCCUGCUGACAUAUCUGAUCAUCUCUUUCAUGCAGUUGCCAAUAACCAUAACUGAAAAUAAUCUGGUUUAUCAUAAGUAAAAUGGGAAACUUGCCUCUGUUUUUUGCAAGGGGAGGUAAAGAGUGUUUAGUAAUUACCUAUCUUAAAUCUUUCCGAGUUGGUAGUAGAUUCAUGUUCAAGGAACA
rnacentral:sRNA from 1 species